rnacentral:rRNA from 1 species
UGGGGAAUAUUGCACAAUGGGGGAAACCCUGAUGCAGCGACGCCGCGUGAGCGAAGAAGGUUUUCGAAUCGUAAAGCUCUGUCCUAUGGGAAGAUAAUGACGGUACCAUAGGAGGAAGCCCCGGCUAACUACGUGCCAGCAGCCGCGGUAAUACGUAGGGGGCAAGCGUUGUCCGGAAUCACUGGGCGUAAAGGGUUCGCAGGCGGAAAUGCAAGUCAGUUGUGAAAGGCAGAGGCUCAACCUCUGUAAGCAAUUGAAACUGUAUUUCUUGAGAUGUGGAGAGGCAAGUGGAAUUCCUAGUGUAGCGGUGAAAUGCGAAGAUAUUAGGAAGAAUACCGGUGGCGAAGGCGACUUGCUGGACACAAACUGACGCUGAGGAACGAAAGCGUGGGUAGCAAACAGG